UACGUAGGGUGCAGGCGUUAAUCGGAAUUACUGGGCGUAAAGUGUGCGCAGGCGGUUUUGCAAGACAGAUGUGAAAUCCCCGGGCUUAACCUGGGAACUGCAUUUGUGACUGCAAGGCUGGAGUGCGGCAGAGGGGGAUGGAAUUCCGCGUGUAGCAGUGAAAUGCGUAGAUAUGCGGAGGAACACCGAUGGCGAAGGCAAUCCCCUGGGCCUGCACUGACGCUCAUGCACGAAAGCGUGGGGAGCAAACAGG
rnacentral:rRNA from 1 species